CCUGUCAGUCGCGCAUUAUCUGCUUUGGACCAAUCGCCCAGCCGCCGCAAGCCGCCGCAAGCCGCCAAUCAGCCAAAUGUGUCGCCGGCGAUGGCACUUGUCGCCGGACCCAUCGCCAGCCACCGCAAGAGCCCUCUGCUCCUUCAUCUCUUCGCGCGAGAGAAAAGCUCUUGCUUGUGAACGACGCCGGCCGUUCGUCGACGCAACGUUAUCGCUGCCACCAAGUUAGGGCCAUCACUCUCUGUCGAGCUCUCUCCACCACCUUCCGGUCACAGCAAAACAGAAGACACGCCCGCUUGAGUGACAAAUCCGGAAAAGCCCUAAAAUGGUCCGUUUCCACCUCCUCUCUGGGUUGAAGAAGCACCGUGAGUUUCCCCUUCCACCUAAGGUGGCUACUGUAUGUGACGGUGUUCAACAGCCUUCAGAUGCCAUUAUAGCCAAUCUGGUCCUCGAAUCAGACCCACUCAGUCUCUCCGAGACCCUAUUCAUGCCUAUAAUCCAAUGGACACCUGAGCUCGUGAAUAAGGUUCUGAAGCGCCUCUGGAACCACGGGCCCAAGGCCCUUCAAUUCUUCAAACACCUGGACUGCCACCCUGCCUACAUCCACUGCGCCUCGUCGUUCGACCACGCCAUCGACAUCGCGGCCCGCACGCACGACUACAACGCUGCAUGGGCCUUAGUGGGCCGCAUGCGAUCUCUCCGCCGCGGCCCAACUCCCCGAACCUUCGCCAUCCUCGCCGAGCGCUACGCCGCAAACGGAAAACCCCACCGCGCCGUCAGAACCUUCCUCUCCAUGCACGAGCACGGUUGCCGCCAGGACCUGAACUCAUUCAACACCGUCCUCGAUAUCCUCUGCAAAUCGAAGCGCGUGGAAAUGGCGCACACCUUGCUCAAAACGUUCCGAUCCAGAUUCAAACUCGAUUGCGUAAGCUACAACAUAAUCGGAAACGGUUAUUGCUUAAUCAAACGCAUGCCAAUGGCGUUGCAAGUUCUGAAGGAAAUGGUGCAGCAAGGGAUAAACCCUACGAUGGUCACCUACAACACAUUGCUGAAAGGGUAUUUUCGGAGUAAUCAGAUAAAGGAGGCUUGGGAGUUUUACUUGGAGAUGAAGAAGAGGAAGUGCGAGAUUGAUGUUGUGACUUACACGACUGUGAUUCAUGGGUUUGGGGUGGUGGGUGAGGUUAAGAAAUCUCGUAGAGUUUUUGAUGAGAUGAUGAAAGAGGGCGUGGCUCCUAGUGUCGCCACUUAUAAUGCGUUGAUUCAGGUUUUGUGUAAGAAGGAUAGCGUGGAGAAUGCGGUGGUGGUUUUUGAGGAGAUGAUGAGGAAGGGGCUGUGUGUGCCAAAUGUGGUUACUUACAACGUUGUCAUCAGAGGUUUUUGUCAUGUUGGAGACAUGGAGAGGGCAUUUUGGUUUAUGGGAAGAAUGGGGGAACAUGGUUUGAGGUGUUCUGUUCAGACAUAUAAUGUUGUGAUUAGGUACUUUUGUGAUGCUGGGGAGAUUGAGAAGGGUUUGGAGAUGUUUGAGAAGAUGAGGGAUGAGCCUUGCUUGCCCAAUUUGGAUACCUACAAUAUUCUGAUCAGUGCCAUGUUUUUGAGGAAGAAAUCGGCAGAUUUGGCGGUGGCUGGGAAAUUGUUGAUGGAGAUGGUUGAUAGAGGGUUCUUGCCACGGAAGUUUACUUUCAAUAGGGUGUUGAAUGGACUUGUUAUUACUGGGAAUCAGGAUUUUGCCAAGGAGAUUCUGAGAAUGCAGAGUAGGUGUGGCCGUAUUGUUCGGCGUUUGAAAUUGUGAGAUUUUCAAUAGUUGGAUUUGGAACACAACCCACAUGGUUUUUCAGCGGUUGAAAGUGCAUGGUGCAUGUAACUGUAGAACAUUUUAAGACAAUGUGAAGCACGUCCAAAUUCUUCGCAACAGAAACUUUGGACAGCACUUCAGUAUCAUUGUUUAGGCUUUCCUUGUGUUGCAUAUGCUGAUGGAAGAGAGACAAAUUUCUGCUUUUCAUGGAUGUUUUAGUUUGGAAACAUUCUUCUAGAAGCUCAUUCAGGCAUGCAUCCAAUGAUGGGCUUGUAACAUAAGAUAAUUUCAGAACUUGAUGAAAGGAUGCGGGAUUUGAGAAACGAGCUACAGUCAUUUGAAGGUAAAUAAUAUGAUGAAAGUCAUAAGAAAAAGGCCUUAGAAGCUUUGAAACGGAUGGAGAGCUGGAAUCUAUUCAGUGACACGCAUUAGGAAUUCCAAAAUUACACAGUUGCACGUGAUUCUUUUCUUGCACAUCUAGGUGCAAUGCUGUGGGGAUCUAUGAGACAUAUUGUGUCACCUUCGGUUGCUGAUGGUGCCUUCCAUUAUUAUGAGAAGAUAUCCUUUCAGUUGUUUUUCGUGACACAGGAGAAAGUUAAGCACAUUUAUAAAGGGCAGCCUUUCCUCAUUGACAGUUCCUUCUCAGAAACCAAUGUUCAGUCAGCACAUGUUGCCACUGUCGGAGGAUCCUGCCUUAGCAAAUGGCCUUUGCAGUUGCACGACGAGCAGCUGCUGUACCUUUACUGCUUAUCAAUGGAACCUACCGAAAGACAGUUCGAACAUAUCUUGAUUCUUCUAUUCUGUAAUAUCAAUUGCAAAGGCUGAAUAAACAUGGUUCUCUUAAAGGUCAUUCCUAUAUCCUUAAGUCCUGUUUUAGAGUGCCAUUUGUAUGUACAUUGAAAAAUGAGAAUAAGUUGCAGACAUCUUGAAGUUGAGUGUAAAAAAAGGGUGAAAGGAAAAUUUAUUUCAUCUGAUGAUUAGUGUAUAUUUUACUCAAUCUAUUUUCAUCCAUUGCACAUUUUUAUUCAAAGCAAAUUUGGUGGAAUUUUAUUUUGAAAUCUUUAUUCAAUUAAAUAAAUAAUUAAGUCAGAAUUAGAAAUGAGUUUAAGACAACCUUUGCACACAUUCUAUAAGAUGCUUGAUGUUAUGCCUCAACUGUUGAAUAGGAAUUGUGGCAUACCUGAUUUAGGAUGAUAGUAGCAUCAAUCCUAAAUAUUACAUUAGUUUUAGUGUAUCUUCAACUUUUUAUAGCUCAGACUUUGAAGCUCAUAGUGUUUGCUUCACUAAGUUGCCAAAAGUCUGCCGUGGACUAUGUAUAAUGAAUUGGGUUUGUGCAGUUACUUUUGAAUAAACUGGGGCAUUGAAGUAUUUGGGGCACAAUUAUAUGCUCCACAUACUGUAGUGUUGAGUUUAAGGAUUUAAGAGAAAAUAAAACUGAGUUUUGUAUUGAUUCUGAAACCUGAAAAAUUGCGUGUAGAGGGAUGUGAAUAUAUUACAUCUGUCCAGCUGUACCAAACUGAUUAAUUCUUUACAUGUCUGAACAGAAAAAAGUUAUAGUGAGGUCAAGUGUAUGCUGGGUUUCAAUAAACCCAGGUUUAUUCUAAAUUAAUACUCCUCGCAAGCUAAUGGUGGGUGAGAGCUAUGAAUAGAAGAUAGUUUACACACUCUAAAGCUUGAUUCAUAUAAACUCUAAACUGCUAGGGAACGAGCCUUUGUGAAGACGAAUGUUGUCAAACUCAAGCAUCAUAAGAGGGUCUGAAGGUCCUUAUUUAUUUUAUUCAAUUUGGUCUCACUAUUAAUAAAAAUCCCAAUCUAGUCCCUCAACUUUUAUAAAUGUAACAACAAUGUGAUCACUUUCUAUACAAUUAGUCAUAAAAUCAUUGACAAACAAAUAUUGAUUGUUUUAGUUUAUACUUAAUAUAAUUUAUAACUAAUGCAUAGUGACAAUUUAUAAAACCAACCACAUCAUUUUCAACGAACAAAGGGGUCACACUGUUGCUAUUUUAAAAAUUGAGGGACUUGAUUUAACCUUGGAAGAGUUACACUGUUACAUUUUUAAAAUUGAGGGAUUUGAUUGAAUAUUAUAUUAAUAGAGGGACCCAAUUGAGCAAAAUAAAUAAAUAAAAGGACCAUAAAGAAAUUAAACCUAUUGCAUUCAUCAUGCAAUAUAAAUAUACUAAGGGACAACAUGGCAAUCAACUCACUACUAUCCUACAAUAGUAACAAGUGGUAGGUAAUUACAAUUAGAUCUUGCACUUUAGGCUUUUUCAGCACUUUAUCAUUUGCGUGUGUAAUGUUGGUGAUGUCUUUGAAGACUUUUCUUAUUAUAUUCAUCAACUUUCUUGCAUGACCAUUGAAGGAUGUGUACCUUUGGAGUCAUUGCUUGUUAGAUCUUUUCUUGGAGAGUGAUGACUCUCUUCUCACUUACUUUGACUGGUAGUAGUACUUUGACGUGAUUGAAACAUACUCCUUUACUUUACAGUUGACUUUGUG